rnacentral:rRNA from 1 species
AUUGAACGCUGGCGGCAUGCUUUACACAUGCAAGUCGAACGGCAGCGCGGGCUUCGGCCUGGCGGCGAGUGGCGAACGGGUGAGUAAUGCAUCGGAACGUGCCCAGUAGUGGGGGAUAGCCCGGCGAAAGCCGGAUUAAUACCGCAUACGACCUGAGGGUGAAAGCGGGGGACCGAAAGGCCUCGCGCUAUUGGAGCGGCCGAUGUCGGAUUAGCUAGUUGGUGGGGUAAAGGCUUACCAAGGCGACGAUCCGUAGCUGGUCUGAGAGGACGACCAGCCAAAAUGGGACUGAGACGCGGCCCGGACUCCUACGGGAGGCGGCAGGGGGGAAUGUUGGACAAGGGGGGCAACCCUGAUCCGGCCAGGCCGGGGGGGGGAAGAAGGCCUUGGGGUUGUAAACCCGUUUUGUUGGGGAAAAAAACCUUGGGGCUAAUACCCGGGGGGGAUGACGGGACGGAAAAAAAAAGCACGGGCAAACUACGGG